rnacentral:lncRNA from 1 species
GAAGCUGACAAAAGGUUCCAUGAGUACCCUCAGACCUGGGCUCUGGAAAACAGGCCUCCGUCUUUCCUGAAGCCAUAGGAUGCUGAAGAUCAAUUGACUUUGUGCCAAGCAGACUGUCUCUAAGAAAAGGGAAAGGUUUCAUUUCCUUUUUGGCUGUCCAGACCCCCAUCACACGCGUUGGUGGGGAGAGAGGCCAUGGCUUUCUGUCCUGGCUCCAUGGUCUGGUGUCUGCUCAGCCUCAUUCCCUAAAGCAGAGACGUCAGGCAUUGGGCAGAAGUUCUGAGCUGUGAGGAUUUGAUGCAGAUGGAGGGAUUUUCUCCCCUAAGCAAAAAGGACCCUCAAGGCCCCAGGUGUGACAAUGGAAGGUGCUCACCAGAGAGAAGACACAACUGCUGUUUAGACCUGAUCUAGCGUGGCUCCUGGAUGCUCACACAGCACCACUCAUGAUCAUCUUUCCUGCAGUCCACUCACUGGGCACCCCCUUCCGUACUAUAUCCCAGGAUCAGACUCCAAGUGCCUAAGAGUAUGUAAACUGUAUCUGUUUUCAUCACUACAUAUAUCUAUAUAUAUUCAGAAAAAAAUGCUAGUUGUUGUCUUCCUUCUUUUUCGUUUCUCUUCUCCUCUGCUUUUCUCCCACACAGUGAAAGUGCAGAGUAUCUUCUGCCAUUAGUGACAGCAAUUCUCUUUGCAUUUCUCCCCUCCACAGUGUUUUAAUAAUAGUGCUUCCAGUAAUUUCUAAACUUCAGUGCAAUGCAAAGCCUGCUUAUCUUUGACAGGUAGAACACAGUUUUUGUAGAAACAAAACCAAACAAACAUUGUGUGUUUGCAAUAACAUGGAAAAAAUAGAUGAAAAGGGUACACUCCAGGUUAUGAAUGUCUGUUAUCUCAGGAAGGAAAUAAUAAUGGGGGGAGGGGGUUACAGAGGCAGAGUUUAUGUUAUUAAAGGUUAUUUUUUUUAUUGUUUCCCUUUUAGAGUAAAUUUUGUAAAUUAAAGCAAAAUAGAGAAAAAUUUAUUUUUUGCUUAAAAAUUUAUUUUAUUGAGUUGCUUUACAUUGUUGUAUUAAUUUCUGCUGUACAGAAUGAACAGCUGAAGUGAUUCAACUAUACAUAUAGAUAUAUUCUUUUUCAUUAUGGUUUAGUAUAAGAUAUUGAAUAUAGUUCCCUCUGAUAUAUGAUAGGACCUUAUUGUUUGUCCAUUCUUUAUAUGAGUUCCCAGGCCAGGGAUCAGAUCCCAGCUGCAAUUGUGACCUUUGCUGCAGCUGUAGCACCUCAGGAUCCUUUAACCCACUUUGCUGGGCCAGGAAUCGAACGUGCCUCCUGGCAAUGCAAAGACGUCACCAAUCUUGUUGCUCCAAAGCAGGAACCCCUGUAGACUUUUUAAUGAUGGCCGUUCUUACCAGUGUGAGAUGUUACCUCAUCAUAGUUUUGCUUUGCAUUUCAAAAUAGAGAAUAUCUUAAAAGGAAAAAGUGGACUUCCACUUCUAGAAAGAUGGAGUAGACACAAUUUAUUCCUGAGAAUUCUGGGCAUUAUAUAUAAAACAAAAAGAAAAAUACUCUGAAAGGUGGAGAGACAAGACAGACGGUCCAUGGACAGAGAAACACACAGGACACCUUGGUGUUUAAUCCUCUAGGUUUCCUGUCUGCCUCCUUUAUCCCUCCUUGGAAGCCAGCCACCCAGAAAAGCCAGUGGAUGCAGACACAACAAGGCCCAACAAACCCGCUCUCUCUAACCAAAGGACCCAGAGAAGGGCCAUCUAGUAAGACAGAAAACAGAAAAAAACCACUCUCGUCCAGCUAAACCCCCAGCAAGGCUUAAGUGAGGAGCCUAGACUUCCACCCUCAGCAGGCUGUAGAGAGGUGGUGUCGGAAAAGGCCAGGUUGGAAAUAAUCCCUGCCAGACAGUAAUAGGCCCCUCCCUUCAUGGUGUCAGGUGAGAGAGUGGAGGGGGUGCCUGGCAUCCCACUCUGCGUGGGCAGUAACAGGCACUCCUCCUCCCUCCCCCUGGGGACGUGUCAGGGAGUCAGGCACCACCACCACCCAGUGGUGAUGAGAUCCCACCCCCACCCCCAGUGAGGGUCUGCAGAGCACUAACAAGGGACUUCCAGCCUCUCCCAGCCUGGUAGGUGCCCACCGAGGCCUGGUGGGGAGCCAGUGGUCCAUUCCCUGCCUAGCAGUAACUUCAGUCAUCCAAUUGCUUAAAAGCUGUGAGACUCAGAAUAAGCACAGUGCGAAACGUGUACUUGACUCUACUCAUUAGCAGUUCAUUAAAUCUAGUGCCUUGAAUGUUUGAAAUAUCUAAUUUCUUCUCUGUUCUAAAAAUAUUAAUGUUUAAAAAACUAUCAUGAUACAUGAAUAUAUUCUAAUUUGUUUGAAUAUAUUCAAAAGUGCAAACUGCGUGGAAGUAUAUAGAAGAAGACAGUCAUGGCUAGCGAUUUAAUAUAUAUCCUUGCAGACCAUUUUAUACCCAUUUAUAUAAAUACACACAUAUGUAUUUAUAGAUCGACAGAAUAAGAGCCAUUGAAAAUUUUAAGUGGAAUUCAGUUUUAGGGAUUGUUUUACUACUUUUAAAAACUUUUUAAAAAUUUAAUAUUAUGGAGACCUUUACAUGCUAGUAUAUGAUAUUUACUUAUCAGUACAGUUCUUUUCUCCACGGGUGUGAAUAUAUCGCAUGCAUGCAUCCUAAUUCCAUCAUUAUCAUAGUGGGAGUUCCUGUCAUGGCUCAGUGGUUAACAAACCUGACUAGCAUCCAUGAGGAUGCAGGUUCAAUCCCUGGCCUCGCUCAGUGGGUUAAGGAUCUGGCAUUGAUGUGAGCUGUGGUGUAGGUCACAGAAGUGGCUCAGAUCCAGCAUUGCUGUGGCUGUGGUGUAGGCCAGCAGCUACAGCUCUGAUUCGACCCCUAGCCUGGAACCUCCAUAUGCUGUGGGU